rnacentral:rRNA from 1 species
GGAGUGGCAGACGGGUGAGUAACACGUGGGAACGUACCCUUUGGUUCGGGACAACUCUGGGAAACUGGAGCUAAUACCGGAUACGCCCUUUUGGGGAAAGGUUUACUGCCGAAGGAUCGGCCCGCGUCUGAUUAGCUAGUUGGUGGGGUAACGGCCUACCAAGGCGACGAUCAGUAGCUGGUCUGAGAGGAUGAUCAGCCACACUGGGACUGAGACACGGCCCAGACUCCUACGGGAGGCAGCAGUGGGGAAUAUUGGACAAUGGGCGCAAGCCUGAUCCAGCCAUGCCGCGUGAGUGAUGAAGGCCUUAGGGUUGUAAAGCUCUUUUAUCCGGGACGAUAAUGACGGUACCGGAGGAAUAAGCCCCGGCUAACUUCGUGCCAGCAGCCGCUGUAAUACGAAGGGGGCUAGCGUUGCUCGGAAUCACUGGGCGUAAAGGGCGCGUAGGCGGCGUUUUAAGUCGGGGGUGAAAGCCUGUGGCUCAACCACAGAAUGGCCUUCGAUACUGGGACGCUUGAGUCUGGUAGAAGUUGGUGGAACUGCGAGUGUAGAGGUGAAAUUCGUAGAUAUUCGCAAGAACACCGGUGGCGAAAGCGGCCAACUGGACCGGCACUGACGCUGAA